UCCUUCCCCAUUUAUUCUCACAGUAGAUCACUGACAUUCCCAUUCAACUGAAAGGAAAUUAAGGACAAGCUCCAGAGUCAGAUCAGGAAAAUAUAUGAGUGAGCAGAGACUUGAAUUCAUGCCUAGGUAAGGUAGUGGUUCCCCUUUUGUCACAGAGAGCUGCUUUUGUGGGCAGUACUUGGGAGAGUGCCAUCCACUUUCCACUCCCUGCCUGUCCUUUUCUGUGCCACAUGAAUCCAGUCACCCACUGCAGCCUGCUAAAAUUACCCUGAGGGUCUCAGAGCCUUUUCUGAUCCACAGAUGAGUGUCUUCCAUUCUAAUCCUUUGUUCCCUCCUCAUAACCAUGAGGUUACUUCUGAUGGCCACAAUAAGAGGGUACCCAGACCUUUCCCAAUUAGUGGCGAACCAUCUGGCAUGCCCCCAGUACCUCCAUAUGCUUAUAAGUAUAUGGAUCUGCUCUCUCUCUCUCUUUAAUGCAGUGCCUUAAUUUGGUUUUAUUUCAUUUGCGCUUCCACAGCCCACUUGGCAUAGCACACCACAAGCAACUGCAAACUUGAGCAAUAAUAAUAAUAAUAAAUCCUUGCAUUGGAUUGCUCCUUCCCGUGCUGCCUGCCACAUGACUCCCAUCAAUUUCUGUCAGGGCAAUCAGCCAAGCCAACUUUUCGCGAGCUGCUGAUGGCAAAUUUAGCAGCUGAGUGAGUCUCUCUCUUUCUCUCCUUCUCCUUCCCUGUUCCUGUUGGACCAAGAAAGGAAUUAGGUCUUCUUGCCACCUAGGAGGAGGCCAUUUCUCAUAGUCUGCUUCUUGAUGAUGGAAGGCAUCAACGAUAUAAUGUAACAGCUGUUUUCAGACAUCACACCAAUUACUGUCUGGUAUCCUAGUGGCACCAUUUAUGUUGGCAAAUAAAUGGUGGCAGUUUGCAAUGGAUGUUUCAUGGACAUCUGUCCAUGAAACAAUAUCCCAGAAGACACUAAGGACAGAGGGGAGAGUCUAAUUCAGUGCACAUUUAAAGGCAAAUCUGUCUAAUAUGAACUUCCCAAAUCAAUAUUUGGACUGAAAUACAGCCAUCCUUCAAAUUUCUCGUUUCUACAAAUUUUGUGAUGUAUCUCUCCAACCAAACAAUGUGUACAAAGCUGCAUAUACUACUGGAAUGUGUGCAAUAAUGCAUAUAUUGAUGGAAACAACAUGCAAAAAUGUUGCAUUAAACUGUGCUUAUUAGGAGAAAUUUACACUAAAAUACUGAUGAAUUUUCAUGACAACUUCAAAAACAGUUUUGCAAAUUGAUGCGGAAAUGUGGAGAACUGAAUUUAAGAUUGGAAAAAUGAGAGACUGAGAGAAACCAAAAGUGGCAGAUUUCCCCAUCCUUAGAAGAUACCAGGAGAGUUUUGCACAGAGCUAUAGGGAAGCUGCCACAUGUAGUCAGAGGUAGUGACUGCAUUGUGAGCAAUGACACUAAGUUCAAAGUCUUAGGAAUUCAAGAGUGGGGAGCAGCUGGGCAAAAGACCUGGAAGCUUUUGGGCAGAAUUCUUGAGGGUUAGCCCUCCUUUCUCCAGUUCUUCUGGAUUUCACCCUAAACAUUACUGGGAAUCUAUGGCUACUGCCCAUUCUCAUUUUCCCCAAAGGAACUUGCAGUUACCUCUAGUGAAAGCGAUUCAUGCUUUGACAACAUCUUGCUCAACAUGUCUCCACUCCCACUCUGGUUCACCGAGUGCUUGCAGUAAGCAGAGAAAUGCUGAGCACAAUGACAUGGAGGCCACACAUUUCUUUCUUUAGAUGUUACAGGGAAAAUGCAUGGGGAAAAUGUGGUUUGGGGGUAGACAAGUAUCUCCCAUAACAUCUAUUCUGUUAAGUUUGCUAGACAUUUCUGGGCAGAGUCUGGACCAUUCUCACCAUGUGGAGUAUGUGGAGCCAAAUUUGAGAUUGUCUUCCAUGGAAAGCCAUAAGUAGUUGUUAGGAGAAGUCCAGGCUCUUCUCACAAAAGGCUGAUUUUAUUUUACCCCCCGCCCCCGGUCUUGGAGCAUCAAGCCUGGUGGGAGCAUCAAGGCAUUUCUGCUACUUGGGUCCAAGUUACAGCUGAGAUAGCAUCACAUCCUAUACUGUGCACAGAUCCAUUUGACUUACAUCCUCAUGUUACAUUUGGACUAGUGCUGUGCUGAAAUUAGUUCCUUGGUUUCUUGAAAGUGUUCUUCCUUUGCAAAAGAGGCUUCCAUUUUUCUGCCUCACUCAUAGGAUGUUUUAUAAUUUAUUUAUAGUUUUGGUGAGUGCCGGGUUGCACACAGCGUUCAAAACUCCUAUUGUUCUAAGCAUGUUUUGCGAUAGGGAAUUUCAUUAAUGCAAGCAGUUUCUGAGCUCUGGGCACAGUAUUGUGCCUAAGAUUUCAAAUUAAAACUGUCACUGCCGGAAGGAAAGGAGGACCUUUUUCCCGCCUCCCCACUUCCAGCCACUCUCUGAAGACUGGAGAAGAGACCCUCCUAAGAAUUUUAGGGGGGCAGACAGGGGAAGCAUGGCUUUGCUUUUUGCAGUCUUCAGAUAGGACUAGACCAUGUGAAAAAUGCACAUAAGAUUUUAGCUGCAGUUCAUUCAUUUUCAGCUUUGUAUUCUUUUGUAAAAAAACACGCCUAGACACUCCGUUGCAGUGCCCAUAACCUAGGUUUAAGGUGCCAUUUAUUUCCUAGCUUUCAUAUCUCAGUUUCUAACACUGGUUGCACAUACUUUAUUGUUAUGAGAUGGCCCAGGUUUCUAUAUGCACUUUUCUUUUCAUUAUGAAUCUUUCCAGCUCUCUGCAGCCUCCUCAGUGGGUGCUUUCUGUUCUGAAAAAACUCCAAGGGCAUGCUCACUGAUUUUGUUUAUAAGGGAAAUUCUUUCUUUUACCUUUCUGCACUGAUUUGUUUUAAAAUAAAAUAAAAAUAUUCUUCUUUUUUAAAAAUAGCACAACCUGACAGCACUCAGGUACAUGAUAAGCAACCUCCUCUUCUUACCAACUGACAGGAAAUCUAGCUGAGGACAUUGUGGAGUUUUCAGGAAGCAGUGCACCUUUGGAAAGCUGAAAAACGCUGACCAACUGGCUGGUAGGUAGAAGGACAAAAACCAUAGUGGAGGUGUCUGCCCUCCACUAAGUGGGCUGCAAGCAGAACCCUGAAAGGGAGAGACAUGCUUGAUUUGUGUUUGAACCCAAGACUGUGGC